rnacentral:rRNA from 1 species
CCUACGGGUGGCAGCAGUGGGGAAUAUUGGACAAUGGGCGAAAGCCUGAUCCAGCCAUGCCGCGUGUGUGAAGAAGGCCUUCGGGUUGUAAAGCACUUUCAGUGGGGAAGAAAGCCUUGGGGCUAAUACCCUCGAGGAAGGACAUCACCCACAGAAGAAGCACCGGCUAACUCCGUGCCAGCAGCCGCGGUAAUACGGAGGGUGCGAGCGUUAAUCGGAAUUACUGGGCGUAAAGCGCGCGUAGGCGGUCUGAUAAGCCGGUUGUGAAAGCCCCGGGCUCAACCUGGGAACGGCAUCCGGAACUGUCAGGCUAGAGUGCAGGAGAGGAAGGUAGAAUUCCCGGUGUAGCGGUGAAAUGCGUAGAGAUCGGGAGGAAUACCAGGGGCGAAGGCGGCCUUCUGGACUGACACUGACGCUGAGGUGCGAAAGCGUGGGUAGCAAACAGGAUUAGAUACCCCAGUAGUC